rnacentral:tRNA from 1 species
GGUGAGGUGGGUGAGUGGCUUAAACCACCAGUUUGCUAAACUGACGUACGGGCAACCGUACCGGGGGUUCGAAUCCCCCCCUCACCG